rnacentral:rRNA from 1 species
GCAGCAGGCGCGAAACCUUUACACUGCACGCCAGUGCGAUAAGGGGAUCCCAAGUGCGUAGGCAUAGAGCCUACGCUUUUGUCCACCCUAGGGUGGUGGACGAAUAAGGGCUGGGCAAGACCGGUGCCAGCCGCCGCGGUAAUACCGGCAGCCCGAGUGAUGGCCGAUCUUAUUGGGCCUAAAGCGUCCGUAGCUGGCCGCACAAGUCCAUCGGGAAAUCCACCUGCUCAACAGGUGGGCGUCCGGUGGAAACUGUGUGGCUUGGGACCGGAAGGCGCGACGGGUACGUCCGGGGUAGGAGUGAAAUCCCGUAAUCCUGGACGGACCGCCGACGGCGAAAGCACGUCGCGAAAACGGAUCCGACAGUGAGGGACGAAAGCUUGGGUCUCGAACCGGAUUAGAUACCCGGGUAGUCCUAGCCGUAAACACUGCCUGCUAGGUGUGGCACCCACUACGAGUGGGUGCUGUGCCGUAGGGAAGCCGCUAAGCAGGCCGCCUGGGAAGUACGUCCGCAAGGAUGAAACUUAAAGGAAUUGGCGGGGGAGCACUACAACCGGAGGAGCCUGCGGUUUAAUUGGAUUCAACGCCGG